CUACGGGCGGCACCAGUGGGGAAUAUUGGACAAUGGGCGAAAGCCUGAUCCAGCAAUGCCGCGUGAGUGAUGAAGGCCUUAGGGUUGUAAAGCUCUUUUACCCGGGAUGAUAAUGACAGUACCGGGAGAAUAAGCUCCGGCUAACUCCGUGCCAGCAGCCGCGGUAAUACGGAGGGAGCUAGCGUUGUUCGGAAUUACUGGGCGUAAAGCGCACGUAGGCGGCUUUGUAAGUUAGAGGUGAAAGCCUGGAGCUCAACUCCAGAAUUGCCUUUAAGACUGCAUCGCUCGAAUCCAGGAGAGGUCAGUGGAAUUCCGAGUGUAGAGGUGAAAUUCGUAGAUAUUCGGAAGAACACCAGUGGCGAAGGCGGCUGACUGGACUGGUAUUGACGCUGAGGUGCGAAAGCGUGGGGAGCAAACAGGAUUAGAUACCCGUGUAGUC
rnacentral:rRNA from 1 species